UUACAGAAUGCUUACGGAUAUUACUGUCAUUCUACAGCUCAAUUCUUCCAACGAAAACAGCGAAAACAUCAGCAGCGCCUGCGCAUGUAGAGAGAACAACAGAGAGAACCUGUCUGCAUUUAACGUAGCCUCAUAGCUAACACGAAUAUGCAGCCAUUUAUUCCCGAGGGAAGUAAUGUCUUGAAGUUGUUCCAGCGACGAUUCAAUUUAUUAUAGACGCCGCACGGAAAUCCGAAUAUUUCACUGAGCAGCAGUAGUGCCAGGUCCAUCACACUCUCCUCCAUCUUCUGUUUCAAAGUCUGCAGAUCCAAGCAAACAACUCAGUUCCACAGAAAGUCCCCAGAAUUUGACUUCACAGAAGAGACCAAAACAGUCUGGAGAUCACCGUGUACUCGUAGCCUACAGAAGUAAGAAGGGUGUAAGUGCUGCUGUGACUGUAUAGCCUUCUGGACUGUGAGACCGCGCAUGUAACCCUGUUAAGUGGAUACUAACGUUUCAGAAGAGCAUGCUGCUGCCAUGUUCAGGGUUAAAGUGUUUAUGGCAAGGAAUCAGGUGGGUUACAUACAAAAUGGACACUAGGAUACAAAGGGAAAGGGAAAGGAGAGAGAGUGUGGUGCGGCUCAGCAGGAAGAGUGAAGAUGAAAACAGCCACUGCCAUAACUAAAGCAAAGGAAGCAAACGUUAGUGUCCACCUACAAGGCUCCUAAAAUUUUUUAUAACAGUAGUUGAAGAAAUAAUCUGGUAUUCCUAAUAUUAAUUUAAGUGGCCCACCAUAAUAUCUGAUAUGGCAUAAAUACAACAGUGUUUUAGGUUUGCAAAACAGAAAUUCAAGAAUAAUUACCAUAUCUACACACUGAAAGCACACAUUAUAAAUAAAUGUACAAAUAAAAUGAUCAUACAUACUUGCAGACAGAAAGAUGAGUCUUGAAGAUGUAAAUAUACUGAACACACAUACAUACAUACAAGUACAUACAGUAUGAUAAUUCUUUCAGGUCUUCUGAUGAAUUCAGUAUGACAUUUUGAUAAUUAUGUACUGGUCUGAUGCUGGACUGAGUCUGCCACUUUCAAAAUUAGAAUAAAAUAAACUUUAAUCCACAGGGUGAUGUAUGUUAAAAUAAAAGGGCCUCAAGUGACUAACUGUUCAGAGAACAGUGGUUAUCAUUAAGAACCACAUGCUUUAACAUGAAAAAUCUUGCAUUUUGCCUAAAGUGUAUAUUUAUGUGUUCCAUACGAUUCUCAGAACAAGGAGCAUUAACCAGUCGAAUAUCCUUCUAUUUCUGUGACAUAGGAACUAAAUUUUUAAAAAUGAUUUAGCUGAAUUUCAGGCUUGAAAGACUUUGUGGCUAUAAAAAUCUAUUUGCCUGGUCUUGUGGUUCACUGGAAUAUGUAAAUAUAAGGAGCUUUCUGCCUCCACUGGAACUAAAGAAUACAUUUUUCUCAUUGUCCCUAACUCCUCAUAAGAGAUCAAAGUGAGGAAGUGGGGGGAGGAGGAGAAAGAAGUGGAGAGAGAUUAGGAAGAAAAAGACAGUGGAAUAUUUUUGCACAAGUUGAGUAAAUGGUGGUGGUGUGGGGGGGGGGGAGACAUAUGAAAGCCACUUUUUGAACUUCAAUUCUGCUGACACCACAUGCUACUUAAUGCUGUACUGCAAUAUAAAUCACGGUUUUCUCUAACUACAGAAUUAGUUAUCACUGUUAAGUCACUCCUACUGGUUGGUGUGAAAAUAUAAUGAAGAAAAUAUCAAGGUCAAAAAGGGAAGUUGAUUUCAGCAUGUUGCGAUGACCUUCCCAACUUCAUACAGAUAUAAUGUCAUACCUCAUGUCACAUUAUUUUGAGCAAAUACAUGAGAGGGUCAGCUAUGGACAAUGUAAUGGCUGUGCCAUAGCUCAGGCGGUUAAUUGCUGGCUUCCCAUUACGGUGUUCUGGGUUCGAGCCCUGG